UGGGCAAUUGGGUGGGGGGCUGCGGACCCCUUAACGUGGAUUACUUGGUGUGUAUCAGCUGGGCUCAGAAGACCCACGACCUCUUCUCCAUCCUUGGAUUGAUUUGUUCUGCUUAACAGCUGGGUCGCCAAGCUGGCGGUGGAAUCAGAGGUUUCUGGCUGACUCGGUGGGUGCUUUGAACCAGGAAAGGACAAGAAAGAGGAUGGGAAGGACUGAUCCACAUUCCCACCAGGAAGUUUAGCGGAACCCCCGCAUGCCACCUGGACCCCCUGGAAGGACCUGGCCAAGGCUGGAGCACCUCUUGAGAGGCAGGAGCUCCGGAUUUGAUCAAGAAUUCUUGGCUGAGCAUGGUGCCUCAUGCCUAUAAUCCCAACACUUUGGGAGGCCAAUGUGGGAGGAUCUCUUGAGCCCAGGAGUUCAAGACUAGCCUGGGCAACACAGGGAGACCCCAUCUCUAAAAAAAAUAAUAAUAAUAAAAUAAAAAAUUAGCAGGGCAUGGUGGCAUGUGCCUGUAGUCCCAGCUACCCAGGAGGCUGAGGCAAGAGGAUGGCUGGAGCCUGGGACGUUGAGGCUGCAAUGAACUGUGAUUACCCCACUGCACUCCAGCCUGGGCAAAAGAGCGAGAGACCCUGUCUCAAAUAAUAAUAAUAAUAAUGAUAAUCUUAUUUUGGAGAAUAAAGAGACCUCUGGAUUUGAGGUGCCAUUUGGGUAGAAAGAAAAGACCUUUACCCUGAGAAACAGUCUGUGUUGACCUGAAGGAGCAGAGGGAUGCAUCGCUGGAGGUGACCUACAGUUGAAGAAGACUCAUUAUGACAGACCUUGUCCUUCUUCCUUGUGGAAAGUGUUUCCUCUGCUGCUACUGCUCAUGAGACUCUUCCCCCUCCCUGUCCCAGGGAACCAAAGGGCUUUCUACCACACCCUUUCUUGCCCCCCGCCUCCCAUGUCUGCUGUGCCUUUGUACUCAGCAAUUCUUGUUUGCUCCAUUAUCUUCCAGCCGGAUACAGAGUGAAUAGUUAACCACACUUAGGUCAAAUAGGAUCUAAAUUUUUGUUCCUGCUCCGUGUAAAGAGGCCAGUGUUUGUGCAUUGCAAGCAGCCUUGGAAUGGUAACUCUUCUCAUUUGUUUGGGAUCUGGCCACCAAGUUCCAGAAUGAUACACGGAUCAGUGCAGAAGUUCAUCAGGCUCUCGGACCUUAGGGCUGUUGGAGAAGGCUUCAGCAGCAGAACUGAUGGUGAAGGCUCAUGUUCUCCAUCCUCAACUUUCUUUGCUUGGAUCAUACACAAGAAUAAAUUUGGAAGGGCAAAAAAUGAACACUGUUGUUCAUUGCAGCUGUGUUUUGUGACACAGAUGCACAGUCUGCUGUGAAGACCUUCUCUCAAGUGGCAGUUGGGAGUCCAUGCCAGAUCGUGGGCUUCAUGAGAGACUAACAGCUAUCAGGGGUUGUGGCACUUAGUGAGGACUCUCCUCCCCCAGUGUGUGCUGAUGACACAUACACACCUGGUAAUAGGUUGAGUCUUCUCUGUUCCUUUUACUCUGUAGCCACCAUACACGUGAUUUAAAACCCUUCCUAAAUACCUAUCAUGGUUCACCCUUGUCCAAAUGCAGAGUCAGAGCUAUUUGUACUUCAUUAUUAUUUCCAAGGCGAAUAGAUGGCUUGCUUUUUGCAAAAAGAAUUAAAGCUUUUGUAUGUUGCAGUUGA
rnacentral:lncRNA from 1 species